UUCUCUUGAGAGCGGCGGACGGGUGAGUAAUGCCUAGGAAUCUGCCUGGUAGUGGGGGAUAACGUUCGGAAACGAACGCUAAUACCGCAUACGUCCUACGGGAGAAAGCAGGGGACCUUCGGGCCUUGCGCUAUCAGAUGAGCCUAGGUCGGAUUAGCUAGUUGGUGAGGUAAUGGCUCACCAAGGCGACGAUCCGUAACUGGUCUGAGAGGAUGAUCAGUCACACUGGAACUGAGACACGGUCCAGACUCCUACGGGAGGCAGCAGUGGGGAAUAUUGGACAAUGGGCGAAAGCCUGAUCCAGCCAUGCCGCGUGUGUGAAGAAGGUCUUCGGAUUGUAAAGCACUUUAAGUUGGGAGGAAGGGCAGUUACCUAAUACGUGAUUGUUUUGACGUUACCGACAGAAUAAGCACCGGCUAACUCUGUGCCAGCAGCCGCGGUAAUACAGAGGGUGCAAGCGUUAAUCGGAAUUACUGGGCGUAAAGCGCGCGUAGGUGGUUUGUUAAGUUGGAUGUGAAAUCCCCGGGCUCAACCUGGGAACUGCAUUCAAAACUGACUGACUAGAGUAUGGUAGAGGGUGGUGGAAUUUCCUGUGUAGCGGUGAAAUGCGUAGAUAUAGGAAGGAACACCAGUGGCGAAGGCGACCACCUGGACUAAUACUGACACUGAGGUGCGAAAGCGUGGGGAGCAAACAGGAUUA
rnacentral:rRNA from 1 species